GCAAGUCGAGGGGUAACAUUGUAGAUUGUUACAGAUGACGACCGGCGCACGGGUGAGUAACGCGUAUGCAACCUACCUUGUACAGGAGGAUAGCCCAGAGAAAUCUGGAUUAAUACCGCAUAAUAUGAUUGAUUCGCAUGAAUUUAUUAUUAAAUUUUCGGAGGUACAAGAUGGGCAUGCGUGGCAUUAGUUAGUUGGUGAGGUAAUGGCUUACCAAGACGAUGAUGCCUAGGGGGUCUGAGAGGAUAGUC
rnacentral:rRNA from 1 species